rnacentral:rRNA from 1 species
CAACCAGACUCCUACGGGAGGCAGCAGUGGGGGAUAUUGCACAAUGGGGGGAACCCUGAUGCAGCGACGCCGCGUGGGUGAAGGAGCGUUUCGGCGCGUAAAGCCCUAUCGGCAGGGAAGAAGGAGGACGGUACCUGACUAAGAAGCCCCGGCUAACUACGUGCCAGCCGCCGCGGUAAUACGUAGGGGGCAAGCGUUGUCCGGAAUCAUUGGGCGUAAAGCGUUCGUAGGCGGUAUGUCAAGUCUGAUGUUAAAGCCCGGGGCUCAACUCCGGUUCGGCAUUGGAUACUGGCAAACUAGAAUGUGGUAGAGGUAAAGGGAAUUCCUGGUGUAGCGGUGAAAUGCGUAGAUAUCAGGAGGAACAUCGGUGGCGAAAGCGCUUUACUGGGCCAUUAUUGACGCUGAGGAACGAAA